rnacentral:rRNA from 1 species
UACGUAGGGUGCGAGCGUUGUCCGGAAUUAUUGGGCGUAAAGGGCUCGUAGGCGGUCUGUCGCGUCGGGAGUGAAAACUCAGGGCUUAACCCUGAGCCUGCUUCCGAUACGGGCAGACUAGAGGUAUGCAGGGGAGAACGGAAUUCCUGGUGUAGCGGUGAAAUGCGCAGAUAUCAGGAGGAACACCGGUGGCGAAGGCGGGUCUCUGGGCCGAUACUGACGCUGAGGAGCGAAAGCGUGGGGAGCAAACAGG